GGGGGCCCGGAGGAGGCCUUGGGUUCGGAAUUAGGCUGGCUGGAGUCCGGGAUCCACCACAUCAUACACUCGUGCCUUUGGCAGGUCACUAACCGCCCACCGCCUCAGUUUCCCGGUGGGACGAACUCUCUCUCACAGAAGGAGCCCCUGGAGCCCCUGGCCGAACACAUCUGAAAGCACGGAGCCAGACCUCUGCAGCGCCCUCCAGCGGGCAGGUUCUGCGGGCAGCCAUCUCCUCGCAGGCCAGAACACCCCACGUCACUCCAGGACGGUUCGCCACCUUUGAGAAGAGAGGACUCCAGUGUCUGUUCGCUCUGGAAAUGUGGGCAUGUUCCCAUUCCAAAGGUGAUAGGAUCUGAGGGGAGGAUCCUUCCCAUUUUCAAAGCCUUCCUAAAAUCCCACUGAUUAGUGGGGAGGAGUGCAAGUCUACCCUUUCCCCGAACCACCCACAUGAAAUUUAGCAACAACAACAACAAAAAA
rnacentral:lncRNA from 1 species